rnacentral:tRNA from 1 species
GCCCUCAUAGUCUAGCUUGGAUAGGACGCAAGCUUGCGGAGCUUGGAACCGGGGUUCAAAUCCCCGUGAGGGCG